CAAGAUCAUUCAUAGAGAUUUGAAGCUGUCAAGUAUAUUAGUAAACAAUAAAACUGAAGUGAAUAUUUUUUUAUUUUUUAUUUUGGAGUUAGUAAAAUCAUACACCGGACAUUGGAUCCCUGCUAUUCCUACGUUGGAACCUACGCUUAUAUUAGCCCGAAAAAAUUCGACCCAGAUACAAACGGCGAAAAUUACAACGGGUACGCCAGUCAUAUAUGGAGCUUAAGAUUGACUCUACUGGAACUGUUCAUGGGCCAUUUUCCAUACUUGCCGAAGGGGCAAAGACCUGACUGGGCUACACUUAUUUGUGUCAUAUGCUUCGGUGAACCAUCGAGCUUGCCAGAAAGUGCAUCGAAAAAUUUCAAGAAUUUCAUUCAGUGUUGUUCGCAGAAGGAUUCCAGUAAACGAUGGAGUGCAACCUAGUUGUUAUCACAUCCUUUUGUGAAAGAGAUUGAACUGAAAUCAACAUGAGGAGAUUAAUUUUUGAGGAUUAUGGCCUCCGAGGGUAACAGUUUGGGGACCUGUUUGUAUGUAUAAAAGCAACAUUUUUGAGAUUUUAUUUCUUUAGUUUUAUCUUUAUG
rnacentral:lncRNA from 1 species